AACGAACGCUGGCGGCAUGCCUAACACAUGCAAGUCGAACGAAGCCUUCGGGCUUAGUGGCGCACGGGUGCGUAACACGUGGGAAUCUGCCCUUCGGUUCGGAAUAACAGUUAGAAAUGACUGCUAAUACCGGAUGAUGACGUAAGUCCAAAGAUUUAUCGCCGAAGGAUGAGCCCGCGUAGGAUUAGGUAGUUGGUAGGGUAAUGGCCUACCAAGCCGACGAUCCUUAGCUGGUCUGAGAGGAUGAUCAGCCACACUGGGACUGAGACACGGCCCAGACUCCUACGGGAGGCAGCAGUGGGGAAUAUUGGACAAUGGGCGAAAGCCCUGAUCCAGCAAUGCCGCGUGAGUGAUGAAGGCCUUAGGGUUGUAAAGCUCUUUUACCAGGGAUGAUAAUGACAGUACCUGGAGAAUAAGCUCCGGCUAACUCCGUG
rnacentral:rRNA from 1 species